ACUGCGUAGCCACCGCCUCCCUCUCUUGCUCAACCACAGACAGACGGUACCACCGCCGCUCUUCCCACGCCGGCAAUCUCCGCCUUCAUGCGCUUCCUCCAAACACUGCUUCCUCCGCCAAUCUCCGCAUACUGCUUCCUCUGGCCCUAAUCACUUUCUUUUAAGUAUCAUUCGGUGACCAGAUGGAGCCCUAAUUGCAUGUGUUAACUGGAAUUUUUUGGGAGCCCAACCAAGGGUACGACGAAUUAGAGACAAUGGCUAGCAAACGGAAUCCAAUACACGUGGCCAAUGGAGAAGAAUAUUCACGGGUAUGAGCCUGCACAUGUGGGCAAUGGCUAUUUCGGGAAAACAAGAU